AUGGUAGGUGAAGAUGCAGUGCAGUCUCUGUAGCAAAGAUAAGCAAUGUAAAAUGUCUUCUUGUAGUACUUCAAAUACUGAUACUUCAUCAGCCCAAUCAUCUCGUCCCAUCAGCAUUUUAUUCAAAUUUUGCUUGGACAUGGAAAAGCUCAAUAUGUUCAUUGUACCAAAUUAAAGGUGUUGACAAGGAUGCAUCUAUACGUGUUACAUUGGUUUCCAAUGUGCUUUUACAUCUAACAUGACUAUAAUAUUAUGAAAUCUUGAACUUUUUAAUAAUAAUUAAAUUGUUUGUGAUGAAACAUCUAUUAAAAUAAUAGGAUUUGAAAUUGUAAUUAGUUAAUUGUUUUGUCCCCUCGACUUCUAGUGUGCUUAGUUACCUUUGUUAAAUUGUGCUGAAGUGUUGGUCAA